AUUAAGGUGGCAGAGCCAGGUUAAUAUUGCAGUAGGCCUAAGCCUUACCUACAGAAGUUCAAAUCUUCUCCCUAAUU
rnacentral:tRNA from 1 species